rnacentral:rRNA from 2 species
UACGGAGGAUCCGAGCGUUAUCCGGAUUUAUUGGGUUUAAAGGGAGCGUAGGCGGAUGUUUAAGUCAGUUGUGAAAGUUUAAGGCUCAACCUUGAAAUUGCAGUUGAUACUGGACGUCUUGAGUGCAUUAAAUGUGGGCGGAAUUCGUGGUGUAGCGGUGAAAUGCUUAGAUAUCACGAAGAACUCCAAUUGCGAAGGCAGCUCACAGGACUGUAACUGACGCUGAUGCUCGAAAGUGUGGGUAUCAAACAGG